UACAGAGGUCUCAAGCGUUGUUCGGAUUCAUUGGGCGUAAAGCGUGCGUAGGCGGCUUGUCGCGUCGUCCGUGAAAACCUGCAGCUCAACUGCAGGCUUGCGGUCGAUACGGGCAGGCUAGAGUUCGGUAGGGGAGACUGGAAUUCCUGGUGUAGCGGUGAAAUGCGCAGAUAUCAGGAGGAACACCCGUGGCGAAAGCGGCUCUCUGGGACGGUACUGACGCUGAGACGCGAAAGCGUGGGGAGCAAACAGG
rnacentral:rRNA from 1 species